rnacentral:rRNA from 1 species
UACGAAGGGUGCAAACGUUGCUCGGAAUUAUUGGGCGUAAAGCGCACGUAGGCGGCUUUUCAAGUCCCAUGUGAAAGCCCACGGCUUAACCGUGGAAGUGCAUGGGAAACUGGAAGGCUUGAGUACUUAAGAGGAUCGCGGAAUUCCCGGUGUAGAGGUGAAAUUCGUAGAUAUCGGGAGGAACACCAGUGGCGAAGGCGGCGACCUGGGCCAAUAUUGACGCUAAUGUGCGAAAGCGUGGGGAGCAAACAGG